rnacentral:rRNA from 1 species
ACAGAGGUCCCAAGCGUUGUUCGGAUUCACUGGGCGUAAAGGGUGCGUAGGCGGUCGGGUAAGUCUAACGUGAAAUCUCCGAGCCUAACUCGGAAACUGCGUCGGAUACUAUUCGGCUAGAGGAAUGGAGGGGAGACUGGAAUUCUCGGUGUAGCAGUGAAAUGCGUAGAUAUCGAGAGGAACACCAGUGGCGAAGGCGAGUCUCUGGACAUUUCCUGACGCUGAGGCACGAAAGCCAGGGGAGCAAACGGGAUUAGAUACCCCGGUAGUCCUGGCCCUAAACGGUGCACGUUUGCUGUAAGAGGAAUCGACCCCUUUUGUGGCGAAGCUAACGCGUUAAACGUGCCGCCUGGGAAGUACGGCCGCAAGGUUA